rnacentral:rRNA from 1 species
GACGAACCGUGCGAACGUUGUUCGGAUUCACUGGGCUUAAAGGGCUCGUAGGCGGCCAACUAAGUCAGACGUGAAAUCCCUCGGCUUAACCGGGGAACUGCGUCUGAUACUGGAUGGCUUGAAUCCGGGAGAGGGAUGCGGAAUUCCAGGUGUAGCGGUGAAAUGCGUAGAUAUCUGGAGGAACACCGGUGGCGAAGGCGACAUCCUGGACCGGUAUUGACGCUGAGUGAGCGAAAGCCAGGGGAGCAAACGGG